GACGAACGCUGGCGGCGUGCUUAAAACAUGCAAGUCGAACGGACUUCUCAUGAAGCUUGCGAUUGAGAAGUUAGUGGCGGACGGGUGAGUAACGCGUGGGCAACCUGCCCCUGAGCCCGGGAUAACAGUUCGAAAGGACUGCUAAGACCGGAUAUACUUGCGGGGAAGCAUUUCACUGCAAGGAAAGGGAACGCUCAGGGAUGGGCCCGCGUCCCAUUAGCUAGUUGGUGAGGUAACGGCCCACCAAGGCGACGAUGGGUAGCCGGCCUGAGAGGGUGAACGGCCACACUGGGACUGAGACACGGCCCAGACUCCUACGGGAGGCAGCAGUGAGGAAUUUUGCGCAAUGGGGGAAACCCUGACGCAGCGACGCCGCGUGGAGGAUGAAGGCCUUCGGUCGUAAACUCCUGUCAGAGGUGAAGAAUGCCGCAAGGUUGACGGUAACUCAGAGGAAGCCCGGCUAACUACGUG
rnacentral:rRNA from 1 species